rnacentral:rRNA from 1 species
GACGAACGCUGGCGGCGUGCCUAAUACAUGCAAGUAGAACGCUGAAGAGAGGAGCUUGCUCUUCUUGGAUGAGUUGCGAACGGGUGAGUAACGCGUAGGUAACCUGCCUGGUAGCGGGGGAUAACUAUUGGAAACGAUAGCUAAUACCGCAUAAUAGUAGAUGUUGCAUGACAUUUGCUUGAAAGGUGCAAUUGCAUCACUACCAGAUGGACCUGCGUUGUAUUAGCUAGUUGGUGAGGUAACGGCUCACCAAGGCAACGAUACAUAGCCGACCUGAGAGGGUGAUCGGCCACACUGGGACUGAGACACGGCCCAGACUCCUACGGGAGGCAGCAGUAGGGAAUCUUCGGCAAUGGACGGAAGUCUGACCGAGCAACGCCGCGUGAGUGAAGAAGGUUUUCGGAUCGUAAAGCUCUGUUGUAAGAGAAGAACGAGUGUGAGAGUGGAAAGUUCACACUGUGACGGUAUCUACCA